rnacentral:rRNA from 1 species
CCCUUAGAUGUCCGGGGCUGCACGCGCGCUACACUGAAGGAAUCAGCGUGCUAAAACCAUUGUCGAAAGGCAUUGGUAAACCCAUUAAAAUCCUACGUGAUUGGGAUCGGGAAUUGCAAUUAUUUCCCUUGAACGAGGAAUUCCCAGUAAGUGUGGGUCAUAAGCUCGCGUUGAUUACGUCCCUGCCCUUUGUACACACCGCCCGUCGCUGCUCGGGACUGAGCCGUUUCGAGAAAAGCGGGGACUGCUGCUGUCGGGGCUUUCGGGCCUUGGCUUCGGUGGAAACCGCUUUAAUCGCAGUGGCUUGAACCGGGCAAAAGUCGUAACA